rnacentral:rRNA from 1 species
GAUCCUGGCUCAGGAUGAACGCUAGCUACAGGCUUAACACAUGCAAGUCGAGGGGAAACGACAUCGAAAGCUUGCUUUUGAUGGGCGUCGACCGGCGCACGGGUGAGUAACGCGUAUCCAACCUGCCCAUCACUUGGGGAUAACCUUGCGAAAGUAAGACUAAUACCCAAUGAUAUCUCUAGAAGACAUCUGAAGGAGAUUAAAGAUUUAUCGGUGAUGGAUGGGGAUGCGU